GGCUGUCAAAAUGAAUUACCUUGUAAAUUUAUUUUUUGUAAUUUUUGUUUUCAGAUCUCCUUUGACCUGGACCAUUUGGCUUCAUCUUGAAUACCUUUCUACUUCAAAGAUGUAAUCAUGACCAAGGUCUUUAUGCCGUGGGCUUAAAAUCACUAGCAGGGAGACUGCUACAAUUUCAACUGGAAUAUUUGAUGGACAAAUCCCUUAUCCCAUCUGUUUGCUUAAUCCAGGAUUCUGAAACACGUUCAGUGAACAGGAAAGAUGCUGCAUCAGCAAAAGCAAACAGACAGAUGAGGCUGGCAGUGGAGGACCUGUACAGAUCAGUUGUGAUCAUCAGGAUUGCACAACUUUGCACAAGUGAGAAAUGGACUCUGGACAGCGAGAUCUGCACUAUAAGACAACCCUGUCCAGAUAACGCCACAGCAUUUGGAGAGUCUGAGCAUACCUCAGUGGCCCUACACUCCCAGCACACAAAGCCAUCUGCAGCCACCAGUCAUUUGGAGCAACCUCUCACAUGCUGGCUUUCCUACAGGGAUUUUCUCACAGCAGGACCAGCCCCCCUUCCAGCACAUCACAGGUGUUCUCCACAUGGUGUGAGCAGGUGAGAGCGUGACUUUGCCAACCCAUGAUGAAGUUUGGUAGCUGAAAUACAAAAUCCAAGUUUGGCCUGAGAUCUGAAUCUGGCACUCAGCUUCAUCCUCUACUCUGAGCCAAAUCAAACUGUAGCACAUCAUGAAAUCCAAACACCACUGUGCUCUGGGUCACUUAAGAUCUGG
rnacentral:lncRNA from 1 species